CAACACCUGCCCUCUCCACUAAGUCACAGCUAGCCAGGGGCUGCUCACCCUGGCCUGUCAUUCUCUAGUGAGUAAUGGUUUCUGUGUUUCCCUUCUGUGACCCUUAAGACCUAGAGACACCCUAGGAAGACGGCUUGCAGUGCUAACUCACAGAACAGAAUUCUGGGAUGGGGAGACGGGAAGAGGUUCUGGAUACCGACUUCGAAGAUCUGGUGUCUGAAGCUCAGUGUUAAAGGGAAAAUUUGGACGCAAACAUCCAAGUACAGAGAAGAGAAUGGGAUGACACAGGGAGAGAAGACUGACAUCUACCAGCCAGGGCGGGAGGAUGCAACAGCCCCUCCCCCACAGCACUCAGAAGGAACCAGCCCUGCCCACACCUGAAUCUCAGACUCCCAGCCUCCAGAACAGUGAGAGAAUGUAUUUUUGUCGUGCCCACACCUGAAUCUCAGACUCCCAGCCUCCAGAACAGUGAGAGAAUGUACGUUUGUCGUGACAGCCUGAAAGCUGCCUGGUUUGUCUUACUUUGUUACAGCUUCCCUGUAGGCAGAUCCACACAGUAUUUUUGAAGAAGAGGGAAUUCAGAUUUGACAGUCACUUUCCUGAUACUUCUGCUGCCCCUUUCCCCAAAGCAAGACGCGUCCAUGUCGGGAGGCUUCAAAGAAGAAUGGGUUCUUUCACACAGAUUAGAACCUUGAGCUUUCUUAGCCUCUGGCAUUUCCUGGUCAAGGUGACUGUUCAUUUUGGAAAACAUGGUGGAAAGACUUCAAGAGAAGAAUGAUUUACAAAUCUUGAAGAUGGGUGUCAGUUAGCUUAAUAAAACUGAUGCAUUAAAGAGAGAAAAAUAAACGGGAGCAAACCGAGGCAACUACUUAGGAAAUUAAGGGUGGGAAAGGCUUCUUCAAAGACAGUGUCUAAACAGAUGAAAAGUAUGAAGAGGAAGUGAACGAUUUGAACACAGAAACAAUAUCCAUAUGACAGAAAAUAAAGUAAAACAUUAGGUUAAAAAGA